GGUGACRCUUGUGGAAUGAGCGGCGGACGGGUGAGUAACACGUGGGCAACCUGCCUGUAAGACGGGGAUAACUUCGGGAAACCGGGGCUAAUACCGGGUAAUCUUUUGCAUCGCAUGAUGCAAAGGUAAAAGAUGGUUUCGGCCAUCGCUUACAGAUGGGCCCGCGGUGUAUUAGCUAGUUGGUGAGGUAAUGGCUCACCAAGGCGACGAUACAUAGCCGACCUGAGAGGGUGAUCGGCCACACUGGGACUGAGACACGGCCCAGACUCCUACGGGAGGCAGCAGUAGGGAAUCUUCCGCAAUGGACGAAAGUCUGACGGAGCAACGCCGCGUGAGUGAUGAAGGUUUUCGGAUCGUAAAGCUCUGUUGCCGGAGAAGAACAGGUGCCAUAGGAAAUGAUGGUGCUUUGACGGUAUCCGGCCAGAAAGCCACGGCUAACUACGUGCCAGCAGCCGCGGUAAUACGUAGGUGGCAAGCGUUGUCCGGAAUUAUUGGGCGUAAAGCGCGCGCAGGCGGCUUCUUAAGUCUGAUGUGAAAGCCCCCAGCUCAACUGGGGAGGGUCAUUGGAAACUGGGAAGCUUGAGUACAGAAGAGGAGAGUAGAAUUCCACGUGUAGCGGUGAAAUGCGUAGAGAUGUGGAGGAAUACCAGUGGCGAAGGCGGCUCUCUGGUCUGUAACUGACGCUGAGGCGCGAAAGCGUGGGGAGCAAACAGGAUUAGAUACCCUGGUAGUCCACGCCGUAAACGAUGAGUGCUAGGUGUUAGGGGGUCCAACCCUUAGUGCUGAAGUUAACACAUUAAGCACUCCGCCUGGGGAGUACGACCGCAAGGUUGAAACUCAAAGGAAUUGACGGGGGCCCGCACAAGCAGUGGAGCAUGUGGUUUAAUUCGAAGCAACGCGAAGAACCUUACCAGGUCUUGACAUCCUCUGACAAGCCUAGAGAUAGGCCGUUCCCCUUCGGGGGACAGAGUGACAGGUGGUGCAUGGUUG
rnacentral:rRNA from 1 species